UAGGAUGCUUCUCGGGAUGCCAUGGCCCUUCCUCCCGCUGGUUCUCCUUGCUCCUCAAGGUCCGCACAUCUCUGGUCGAUUGAUUCAGCUCCAGCGUCAAGGACACAACGGCAGCAGCAGCAAGGUUCGCCCCGCCUCUUGAUUUAAUCUUCUUCCAAUCCGUUGCCUUCUGAUGCUCGUGGACUCCUUCUUCUUCUUCUACAACUUCUCAUCAUCUCCUAUUGAUGUGUGCUCAUAUUAUGUCAAGGAAAGGAAUUCAAGGCCAUGGGAGCUUCUUCUAGUAUAGGACGUGUUGGACCUGCUGCUGUUGCUGGUUGUGUUCCCCAACCAAGUCCCCAAGCUGCAUCUUGCUACUCCUGCCUCGGCCGUACUCAACUUGCUCCUGGACAGCUACUGCAGGUGAGACAAUUGCCUCCAUCUACUGCAGGUAGAACUACUAUGUAGUUUGGUUGUAGCAGCAACUGUUGUAGGUUGGAAUAUAUAUGUGGUUUCAUAAGCUGGUGCUGCUAGUUGUUAUGGGAAUAUAUAUCUUAGUGCUUUUGGGGUUGUUCCUGUGGAUCCGGCGAGUUUAGUUUGGUUGUAGCAGCAACUGUAACUUUGUAUUACAUAUACUACAAGUUUGUACAGGAUUUUCGUUUGCUAGGAAACAUGGUCAUAUAUUCAUCUUUAAUGCUAGUUGUAUAUUUAGCGCAUCCAUAUGUGCAAGAAAAGGGUUCAGACAGAGAGGGGUACCUGUUUAUCAUGAUUUUUGCACCAGUUUAUCAUAUUGGUCUCCUGUAUUGUACUUUGAAGUUUAUCAUGUUGUGAAGCUGACCCUUCAAAUUGGGUUGCAGAGGAGGUAUGGCUGCCGCGCAAUGAUGCUGGAGACUGUUGCCGCAAUGCUGGGGAUGGAGACAGAUUGCACUGGAAAUAUUUUGUUAUUCCUUGCCUAAUGUUCUUGUUGCUGAUAAUAGGGCAUGUAGAUAGCAAGUUAUUUUCCUAGUGGUUACUUAUGCUUAUUGUGUAUCACAUUUAAAAAGAAAAUGCACAAUGAGCUUGUUUGAUCUUUCUUAUGCUUAUGUAUGCUUGAUCAAGGUAGUUCUUUUUUAAUUUGUUGACAAUGAACCAAUAUAACCAGUCAUCAGUAGCUAGUGUGCAUUGCCAAGUACAACAGUUCUACAUUGUAUGGAAUCAUCUAUAGAUAUUAUUUAUUUAAGUGUUGCUGGCUAUAUUGAAAUUAUACACUGAGGCGCUGUAGCAUUAGUGCACUGUAGCAUAUUAUUAUGAUUAAAGACUACCUACUGAUUUAGAAAUCGAGGAACACAUUAUCUGAGAAGAUAAUGGAAGUGUGAGAAAUUAGAAUCGUCUUUGUAUGCUAUACCAUAUAUAUGCUAUUUAUUUGUAUGCUAUUUAUCCAUGUGAUGCAACAUUAUCUGUAUGCUAUUUAUCCAUGUGAUGCAACAUUUUAAUGAACUUGUUAAACUGUUUGUCAAAAUUUAAAAUUAUGCUCCCUUGUGAAAUUUAUUGACAGGAUCUAUGCUAUAAGGACCUGGAGCAUCUAUUCUAAAAUCAUAGCUACAAGUUGUUGCUGUCGAUGGUGCCAUGGUGGUGCACAAUGUCUUUGGACUUCUCUGAGCUAAAGGUUCAUUCAAGAUUAGCCAAUGAUUCAUGUGAGCAUCUAUUCUGAAAACCCGGCAGCAGUUUUUUAUUUCCUGGAACUGUUUCAAUACUGCUAGAGUCUAAUGCUUACACUAGCUUCCCUAACUUAUCCCUAUGCAAAGACUCAUUAUACAAAUCAGAUACAAAUAUGAUCCCAUGUAUGAGUAAAGCUGGAUGACCAUCCAUUUGGUAAGAUUACAUAAUUGGUAGAACAAGUUAUCUAGAGAACUAAAUUGUUUGAAGCACGAAAGUUGAAUUUGCAUGCCGCUGAAUACUAUGUAAAUUCUACACUACUGAAAGUGUGCAGCUUAUGAUUCCUUUGCUGAAACAUGAAUGUACAGAUGGGAGUAUCACAACAUGCAUAUACUGAAGAUGGGAGUAUCACAACAUGCAUAUACUGAAGAUGGGAGUAUCACAACCUGAAUGUGCAGCUUAUGUAGUUUCUGUAUUUUUGUUAAAGCAUAUACUCUAGGAGGAGGAGCACCAUCUCAGGUUUGUCACUUGCUCCUCCACUUCUCUUAUCUUCUUCUUCUCCAUCUCCCCAUCUAAUUCAUGCGUUUCUUUGCAGGUUGCUCCGAUCUGGUUGUGUGAAGGAACAUGCAAGGUCUGCUACUACUGUUGUGCUCCCUCGAACGAUCUGGUGAAGGACAAUUUGGUCCAUAGGUCCAAUUACUGUAGCUAGCUAUCACACUUGUAGAGCUUGUAAUAUUGUGAUUCCAAUUGUAUUACGUGUUAUUGGUAGAGUAAGAGCUCCAUACUGAUUCUAGCUAUUGUUAUUUGAACUAUUACAUGUGUUUUCUGUCUGUUUGAAUUUAAAUAUUUGUUAUUUAUUCACUGGCAUAUUGAAAUCUGAAGAACAUGACCUUGACAUGAGGGACCCACAAAACAGAACCUGAC
rnacentral:lncRNA from 1 species